rnacentral:rRNA from 1 species
AACGCGAAGAACCUUACCAGGACUUGACAUCCUUUGACCACUCUAGAGAUAGAGCUUUCCCCUUCGGGGGACAAAGUGACAGGUGGUGCAUGGUUGUCGUCAGCUCGUGUCGUGAGAUGUUGGGUUAAGUCCCGCAACGAGCGCAACCCUUAAUCUUAGUUGCCAGCAUUCAGUUGGGCACUCUAAGGUGACUGCCGGUGACAAACCGGAGGAAGGUGGGGAUGACGUCAAAUCAUCAUGCCCCUUAUGUCCUGGGCUACACACGUGCUACAAUGGACGGUACAAAGGGUUGCGAAGCCGCGAGGUGGAGCCAAUCCCAUAAAGCCGUUCUCAGUUCGGAUUGCAGGCUGCAACUCGCCUGCAUGAAGCCGGAAUUGCUAGUAAUCGCGGAUCAGCAUGCCGCGGUGAAUACGUUCCCGGGCCUUGUACACACCG